UCAGGACGAACGCUGGCGGCGUGCCUAAUACAUGCAAGUCGAACGGUCUUUCUAUGGAAGCUUGCUCCACUGAGAAGAUAGUGGCGAACGGGUGAGUAACACGUGGGUAACCUGCCCAUAAGAGGGGGAUAACAUCCGGAAACGGGUGCUAAUACCGCAUAGUUUUCUUGAUCGCAUGACUGAGAAAGGAAAGACGGCCUUUGUGCUGUCGCUUAUGGAUGGACUCGCGGCGUAUUAGUUAGUUGGUGAGGUAACGGCUCACCAAGACGAUGAUACGUAGCCGACCUGAGAGGGUGAUCGGCCACAUUGGGACUGAGACACGGCCCAAACUCCUACGGGAGGCAGCAGUAGGGAAUCUUCCGCAAUGGACGAAAGUCUGACGGAGCAACGCCGCGUGAGUGAAAGAAGGUUUUCGGAUCGUAAAACUCUGUUGUCAGAGAAGAACAAGUUGGAGAGUAACUGCUCCAGCCUUGACGGUAUCUGACCAGAAAGCCACGGCUAACUACGUGCCAGCCGCCGC
rnacentral:rRNA from 1 species